CUAAGAACUUCCAUAUAAAAGGUGUUUGGGGAUUGCAGACUGGUUGAAAGGGAAGUCGGGAGGACUUGCCUUGAAGCAGCUGCAGAGACCAUGAGCUGAAGACAGAAGCAUCACAAGAGGAAAGGAGCCUGGAUCCCUGAGUCAUCGACUGGAGGAGAACUGCAUAAGAAGCUCCCCCAGGCCCGGCACGGUGGCUCAUGCCUGUAAUCCCAGCACUUUGGGAGGCUGAGGCGGGCAGAUCACCUGAGGUCAGGAGUUCAAGACCAGCCUGGCAAACAUGGUGAAACUCUGUCUCUACUAAAAAUAGAAAAAUUAGCUGGGUGUGGUGGGCACUCGUAAUCCCAGCUACUUGGG
rnacentral:lncRNA from 1 species